rnacentral:rRNA from 1 species
UACGGAGGGUGCAAGCGUUAUCCGGAUUCACUGGGUUAAAGGGUGCGUAGGUGGGCUGGUAAGUCAGUGGUGAAAUCCCCAAGCUUAACUUGGGAACUGCCAUUGAUACUAUCAGUUCUGAAUACCGUUGGAGGUUAGCGGAAUAUGUCAUGUAGCGGUGAAAUGCUUAGAUAAUGACAUAGAACACCAAAUUGCGAAGGCAGCUGG